rnacentral:lncRNA from 1 species
CAGAGACUGAGAACGAAGAAGUGAAGAACUACCUCAUGGAAAAGUACUGGUACACCUGUUGUACCACCUACAAAUGAAUUAUGUAUGAGCUUUGUAAAAUAAAAGAAGGUGUUAGGUAACGAGUGGAGAGACACCCAGUUGUUCAGGGUUCUCCCAUGGGCUGAUGUCAUGAGAAGUAUUUGUGUGUCUGACUAUUGUAUGUAUAGGUGAAGAGGGCUCCUGCGGCUGAUCGGUUCCAGGCUGAGAGAAGAAUUUCUUCCACAGGAUACAUAUUACAACAGAAAAAUUAGAGUAAACAAGGAUAAGGUGGUCACGGAACCUUGAAAAUUUGUACCAGCAUUGAGUGAGUUGCAGUGGGCGUGGCCUCUGGGUAUAAAAUGACAGUUGUCCAAAAGGGGAAUACAAUUUACUGGGAACAACUAACAUAUCUCACCAAGAAGCAUGUAUUAACCCAGGAGUAGAGGAGAAGCACCAAGGCAGCAGGAGAC